rnacentral:tRNA from 1 species
GCAGCUCAGUUGGUAGAGCACAAGACUCUUCAUCUCAGGGUCGUGGGUCUGAGCCCCACAUUGAGCA